rnacentral:snRNA from 20 species
AUACUUACCUUGUUCCGAACUCCCCAGCUCAAGAUUUGGGGGCUUCAGUGUGGAAGGCCUGCAUUGCACAGCGCGGUGUCGAUCCACGCUCUAUUGUCCUUCGGGGCCAUAGGGGGCGUAAUUUUUGAUUUC